rnacentral:rRNA from 1 species
CCCCUCAAGAUGAGAUUUCCCAGUAUGUAAGACCCCUUGAAGACGACGAGGUAGAUAGGUUGGAGGUGGAAGUGCAGCAAUGCAUGGAGCUGACCAAUACUAAUCGGUCGAGGGCUUAUCCUAAUAACUA